AAAUAAUGCAAAGAGAUGACGGUACCACUAGAGAAAGCUCCGGCUAACUUCGUGCCAGCAGCCGCGGUAAUACGAGGGGAGCAAGCGUUAUUCGGAAUUACUGGGCGUAAAGGGCGUGUAGGCGGCAACUUAAGUCGUGUGUUAAAGACCGGUGCAUACCACCGGAGCGGCAUGCGAAACUGGGUUGCUAGAGUGUAAGAGAGAGGAGUAGAAUUCUUGGAGUAGCGGUAGAAUGCGUAGAUCUCAAGAGGAACACCGAUGGCGAAGGCAGCUCCUUGGCUUACAACUGACGCUGAGACGCGAAAGCGUGGGGAGCAAACAGGAUUAGAUACCCCUGGUAG
rnacentral:rRNA from 1 species